UCCUUAGGAAAGCAGGGAAGGAGUGA
rnacentral:piRNA from 1 species